rnacentral:misc_RNA from 1 species
ACAGCAGCCUUGUCGACCUACUCGCUUCUACCCCGCCCCCUCUACACCCCGCACCUGUAGACGUGCACUCGAACGCGACCACCGACCACGUAUAAUGGAGCAGGGUGCCUUUAACGAUGUCGCCAAGAAGGCGCUAGAGUUCCGCAACCGGUACUACAAGAUGCUUGAUGAUCCGCAGGACCGCCUGAACGUGGCAGGUCUGUACGCCCCCGAUGUGCCCAUGGUGUGCGAGUGGAACGGGCACCCGCUCUCCACGGUGGAUGACGUGCGCAACUACAUCAGCGCUCUGCCGAAGACGUCGCACCAGAUCGACAUGGUGGACGCGCAGCCGCUGCCCGACAACCAAGAUGGCGACUCCUUCCUGCUUACUGUCCACGGCAUUGUCACAUACAACGACGAGCACCGCCGAGAGUUUUACCAGCGCAUGGUCAUCCGUCGCUUCGAGCAGCGCUACUACAUCCUGAACGACUACUACCGCUGGCUAAGUGAGCGCUCGCAGUGAGCAGUGAAAGGGGCGAGGAGCAGCGACGUAUACUGCUCCGUGGUUCGUCAGCUCGAGUUGCUUGGCCCGUCUUUCACAGUUUGGCCCUCGUCGCCCCCCCCUCCCACACGCACACACGCUCUCUCUCUCUGGAUGUCCGGGUGUGCGUGGCACUCUUUAAACGAACUAAGUGAGCUGGGGGUACCCGCAUGGUGUCGGCUUGUACGCGUGAGAGUGCGAGCAUGGCUUUUGCGAGGCGUGAUCGGACGGGUUUGCAGCCCUCUUGUCGGCCACCUCUUCUCGGUGUCGGUGCCCUUCUCCUCUCACAUGUGCGCCCGGCUUUCCUUCUCUCCCUUGCACGCCUUCUCUCCCGCUUUCGUCGCUGAUCGUGCUUGGCAUGACGACCGAACAAAUCACCGCUGCUGUGUGCGGGGAAGGGGCGGGUGCUGCGGUAGCGGCGGGGGGGGGCUUUCGCCGCCGUCCUUGACGCUGACGGCGGACGGGUUGGAUGUCUUGGUGGUCCUUUGCGGCCACGCGCGCCGUGUGGCGCUUGUCUUGCCUCUCUUUCUCUCUCCGUCGUCGUUUGUGUCUUUUCCGUUCUCUCGUAACACCACAUAUAACAUCGUCGCACUCGGUCCGUGCAUCAUGUGUGGUUCACAGCCACUACGCAUGACUGCACGCGCACAUGCACGCACGUAAGGAUCUGGUUGUCUGCAUGGGCCCCUUCGAGGCCGCGAUGCGCCGGCCCCCGCUCACUUCUGUGAGUUUCCACCACCACGGUCAUCACCCCUCAAACGGAAACCCACCGCUGCAAAGGGGUCCCUCCCCCCCCUCAUCCUUCCAUCACUCGCUCGCUGUUAUUGUUUUUUUUUUUUUCGUUCUGCCGCAUCCCGCGCGCCUGCUCCUCUUGUUUGCGUGUUGUUACGGGGGGCGCUAG